rnacentral:tRNA from 1 species
GCCCUCAUCGUCCAGCGGCCUAGGACGCCGGCCUUUCAAGCCGGUAACACGGGUUCGAAUCCCGUUGGGGGCA